UUAAUUAGUUGUAACUGCACAAAGCACUUAUCCUGGCAUAUACCACUAAGAAAAAGAGGAAGAAGAAGACACUAAACCUCAGAAAUUGUCUGAGAAGAGAGAGACAGAAGAACAAGAGAUACACUGUCAGAGCAAAGAAUAAAAGCACAACCCCUAAGGUAACUGAAAACCACAAGGGCACCGAUAAAUCCCAGGGAGCCUUUUGUCGGUUUCCCUGUAGCAAGCCUUAUCAGCACUGAAGUGGACUGAAGUCAGAGAGCUGUCUGCAUAGAGCUCCUCCUGAUAAAUCAUUCCACAGGGGCAAGAUGAACUGGCAACUGGUCAUUCUUGGAUUAGUCAUCCUGCCCAUUAAACUAGUAGGGACAUCCUUGUUUCUCAUCUAUUGCAGAUGAUAGCUCCCUUGGGCAUGCAGUUGUGUUAUGGGCUAUGAACAUCCUUUCCAAACAACUGCUAUUAACCAAAUGUUGUAUAGGCAGCAUUAAGACUCAUCUUCAGGAGAACAACAUCUGGGCUUGUGUUCAGUUCCACAGAUCUUCCCCAGGCCGGGCUCUCAAGGGACCCUCAAUUCCACAACUGAGAGGAACAUAACAGUUCUACAGACUACCCCAGACCUGCCUAAGACGGAACCUGAUUCCAGCACAAUCACAACUACAGUUCGCGACAGAACAGUCAUGUCCCCUUCUACAGCUAAGCCCCUACAGUGGGAGGGGCACCGAGGGAAUUACUACUUAUUUUCUAAAGCCAAAGAGGUCUGGAGUUCCAGCCGAACAGAGUGUGAUGACCAGAGCUCGGAUCUAGUUGUCAUCAGUGACAGAAAAGAGAUGGAGUUUCUUCGUAAUAAAACAAGGGAUGCUGAUUAUUUCAUUGGACUAACUUACUCAGAGAUGGAGAAGAGAUGGUACUGGAUUGACAAAACAGAGCUUACAAGAGACCUAUUUACUCUGAAACCAAACACAUUGGAGUAUGAAAAUGACUGUGCAGUUAUCAGAGCUGGAGAAGUGAGUCCUGCAUCUUGUCACCAACAAAACCAGUGGAUCUGUGAGAAGACAAUGAAAUAACUCUUUUUAUGUUGGGAGAGUCCCAGCACAGAUAGUUUGUGGCACUGGAAUCCAACUGGGGCAUUUCCCCCUAAUCUCAGACACAAAUAUGCACAUGUAUUCUCAUUUUAUAAUAAGAGGAACCAUAACAUGAUCCUGGCCUAUGGAACUUUUUAUUUUCUAUCCACGACAAAUUCCAGACCAAUGUAUGCAUUCUCGACACCAUUUCUGGAUGCAUUUUCAUCAGCACGUUGUAGGAAGAGUAAUGGAGGACUUCAUUUUCUGUAAUAAGGAUACUUCACCAACCUUAAUGACUCAAUUAGGCAUCUGAUAGACUGACCUCCAUGGAGGGUCACACGUGCUGAAAGGGUAUAGGGUGCAAGAACUACUCAAGGGCCAGGGAAGAUCACAGCUCCUACACAUGGACUGCUCUCUGCAGAGCAGAGGUGGGCAUGAAGCAGGACCAUAGCCCUAGCUCCUCCUCCCAGCGUUGUCCAAAAGAAUUGGGCCCUAAUCCACAAAGAGACUUAGGCAUGGCAAUGCAGUCCAGUUCAAUGCCUAAACUUUAGGUGUCUGGCUACCCAGUGGAAUCCACAAAACCUGAGUUGGGCACACAGGCUCCCUAUAAAAUGCAUGGGGAGAGAUACGUGCCUGAGAAUGGGAUCCACAAAAGCCCACACACUAGGGCAUGGAGCUGUCUAACCAACCACUAGCAGAUACUGAGGAGAGGGGUGUGUCCUAAGAAUCACCCCUCUCUGGGUCUUAGGCACCUAAAUCCAGGAUGGAAGGAGGCUCUUAUUUCUGCUUGGGAUUCACAGCCUGGAAUUGUCUCCUGGAAUCAUGCUCUUAAGCCAUUUUUUGCCAGAAAUGCAGUGGCACAUGCCUAAGUCCAUACCAACUGGCUGGGCAGGGGGGAAGGGAGGACCUCCUUUAUAAACUUUCACCCAGCGGUUAUAGCACUCACUUGGGAUGUGGGAGACACUAGUUCAGUUCCCCCCUGGGGCUGAGGAGAAGGAAUUUGAAUGUGGGUUUCCCACCUCUUUGACGAAUGCCCCAAUCACAGAACUAUAGAGCCAUUGUCUUGCUGGCCCAGUGUAUAUUUUGUGUAUAAAUAAUUAUAUAACAGCUUCAAGAGGCAAGUGUGAGAGAGCCCUAUAUCAAAACAUCCCAUAGUCCAGUGGCUAGGGCAGUCUCUUGGAAGACUUAAAACCUAAAUUCAAAUCCCUUGGCCACAUCAUGUAGAGGACAGAACUGAACCAGUAUCUCCCACAUCAUGGGCUAUAAGGGCAGCCUCCCUUUCUCCCAACUACCAUUGUGUACAGUUUGGUGCGUCUGAGCAUGUCUCCUGGAUCAGGCCUUGCAAGCGAGCUAGGAGGGGGAAUGCCUGUCUUCCCCUGGUUUGAGGAUUGCACAGAGGCUUAGGCGAAAGAUAGGUGCUUGGACGCCUGCUUGGGGCAGCAGGGUGCAUGCUCAGUGCCUUUAGGAUUUUUACAGCAAAAAUUGAGUUGCCUCAAGGGUUAGGCGGCAGCUGAACAGGAUUUUGACGAUCUCAGUGGUGCCUACAUUUUGGACUUUAGGCACCUAAAUUCUUUUGAGUGGCCCUUGGUUAUUUGCAGAGCAGGGAACAUGAUAAACUCUCAUACAGGGGCACUCACAUUGACUCCAGGACAGAUUGUGCUUUAUUGUGCUCCUUUUCGAGCUCUGCACAAUCCCCAACCCAGUGCCAUAAACACACAGUCUGGCUUUGAAUAAUUAGAUUAUUAAAUAGUGAGGCAUGAAAAACAAUUUUGUUACAUUAUUAACAGACCAUUCCCUUCCUGGGCGACUCCUCAUCUAUUCUGACUGUAUGCUGCUCAGUUCAGGGACCUUCUCUCCUUAUGUUUGUAAAGCACUUAGUACACUUUGAGCCCUGAAUAAAUUCUAAUGAUAAUGGUGUUCUCUUUCUCUGUACAUUUGCCAGAAGGCUUUAAAGGCUGAGAUCUAUUUUUUGCUUUAAGUCUCCUCUGAACAUGCCUGACUGUCUUUCAAGUCAUGGUGUUUAGUCGACUAAAAAGGAAGGAUAUGCAUUCCCUUUCUUGCAUCUGUAUGUUAGAAAAUCAGCUCAUGGUUUGCUAACACAGCAAAUGAAUUACAAAACAGCAUGCAGAUUUGCAAAACUCAAAGAUUCCUUUAGAGAAAGAGCAGUUGAUUGUGCAAGUGGAGCAACAUCUGUGGUGUUAAAAUCAGAGAAGUGCUGCCGCAGGGUGAUUAAGCAAGGUAGAAGAUGGAGGUUUGGUUACUAGACCAGAAGAAGUUCCUAACAUGGAGAGAUUUUUAUGAAGGGAUUAAUCACCUCACCUAAUAUUUGUUGAAAGAAAGGAAAGGCAAUAGCUUUUCUCCAUAAUUAAGAGACUCACUUUCCAUUAAAUACCUGAUUUUAAACCUCUGCCUUAACUUCAACAAAACUCAACCAAUCCAGUAGAAGUUUCCCAUGUGUCCCCAGCCAGAGGAGUAAAGUUUGAGAGGAAUCAAACACGGUAUUUUGGAGACAGGAGAGUCUGGACAACCAGAGAAGCAUUGCUUUUGAGAAUUCUUGUAAUUUUUUUCAAUGUCAUAUCUAAAAAGAUGCCUUGGAAGCUCCCAGGGUAUGUCUGUUAUGAGAAAUUCUGGCUACAGAGACAGAAAUAUUGGCUUGAGUGGGUUCUGGGAGCAAGAAAAGCUCCUGAGUACUUUUCCUAGCUCUGCCAUACUGUGAGCACUUGAUAUGUUGCAUUUAUCCAGAAUAGCUCAUACAAAGAUACAGAGGUAUUUUACAGACUAAUGAUUACAGACUAAAUAGCAUUAUUCCCAUUGUGCAUUCAAGGUAGGCAUAGAUAAAUUAAGUGACUUGGCCAAGAUCAUACAAUGAAGUAGUUAUGGAAUUAGGAUAAAGAACAAGGGGCCAGAGCCUCAGCUAGAGUAAAUUGGCAUAGUUCCAUUGUAGUCAAUAAAGCAACCCUGAUUCCCAUUAGCUGAGGAUCUGACUUCACAUUUCUGACUCUCAGUUCCACACACUUAAUCCGGUAGACCACACUUCCAAGUAAAUUACAUAAACACUCCUUUAUGUAACUUUCCUCAUGGGGCUAUAGUUACUUCGGUCCUUUAGAAGAUUAAAUAGUUAUGGGUAGUGUCAUAACGAUAAAGGGAAGGGUGUAACAGCUGUCCUGUGUACAGUACUAUAAAAUCCCUCCUGGCCAGAGACUCCAAAAUCCUUUUUCCUGUAAAGGGUUAAGAAGCUCAGGU